rfam:Fungal sp. No.11243 DNA, scaffold: sccafold0007.
GCAGUCUUGGUGUAGUGGCUAUCACGUUCGCCUCACAAUUGUGGUCGCGAAAGGUCGCGAGUUCGAUCCUCGCAGACUGUA